UACGGAGGGUGCAAGCGUUAUCCGGAUUCACUGGGUUUAAAGGGUGCGUAGGUGGGCUGGUAAGUCAGUGGUGAAAUCUCCAGGCUUAACUUGGGAACUGCCAUUGAUACUAUUAGUCUUGAAUACCGUGGAGGUCAGCGGAAUAUGUCAUGUAGCGGUGAAAUGCUUAGAUAUGACAUAGAACACCAAUUGCGAAGGCAGCUGGCUACACGAAUAUUGACACUGAUGCCCGAAAGCGUGGGGAGCAAACAGG
rnacentral:rRNA from 1 species